UUGCCUCAAUUACCUCUGUUGCUUUGGUGGGCUGAAGCCGAAACUUAGGUUUCCACCGGCAUCUUCUUUGGUGCUGCUCACCAAUAGCCCUUCUAAACUCAGUGAAACAGUGCCCUCAGUGAGAGAUAUAAUAGCCAAAACUUUCAACAACGGAUCUCUUGGUUCUGGCAUCGAUGAAGAACGCAGCAAAAUGCGAUAAGUAAUGUGAAUUGCAGAAUUCAGUGAAUCAUCGAAUCUUUGAACGCACAUUGCGCCCUCUGGUAUUCCGGGGGGCAUGCCUGUUCGAGCGUCAUUGCAACCCUCAAGCUUGGCUUGGUGAUGGGUGUCUGCCUCCUAUGGCACAUCUGAAAGUUAAUAGCAGCUCAGCUAGACUUCAAGCGUAGUAGUUAUAUCCCGCUUUGGAACGUCUCUCUGGGCUGGCCUUACACCCUUAUAUCUCUGGUUGACCUCGGAUCAGGUAGGGAUACCCGCUGAACUUAAGCAUAUCAAUA
rnacentral:rRNA from 1 species